rnacentral:rRNA from 1 species
UACGUAGGUGGCGAGCGUUAUCCGGAAUUACUGGGCGUAAAGCGCACGCAGGCGGUCUUUUAAGUUUGACGUGAAAGCUCCCGGCUUAACUGGGAGAGGUCGUUGAAGACUGGAAGACUUGAGGCAAUGAGAGGGGUGUAGAAUUCCCGGUGUAGUGGUGGAAUGCGUAGAUAUCGGGGGGAACACCAGUGGCGAAGGCGGCUCACUGGCCCGGUACUGACGCUGAGGUGCGAAAGCGUGGGGAGCAAACAGG